GUGAGGACUUUACUUGCAGAUGUGCGACACCGGUGAUCGGACGAUGGGAGGAUUGGCUGCAACAAGAACCACGCAUUUAGGAUCCAUUUUCAAAACUUUUGAGUUUAUCUUCUUUUGAAUAAGACACGUCAUAAUCGAUAUUACCAUGACGAGGGCAAGACCAAGGUACUACUUAACUCUGCCAACUUGCCCACAAUUUCCCAUAAUUUUCUAUCAAGAUCGUGAAGAUCAACUUACCAAGUGUUAAUUUUUAGCCCUUGUGCGUGAAUUAAAUAUAUUUAUAGGGGUU
rnacentral:lncRNA from 1 species